UAGUAGCCCAGAUGGAAAUGGAAAUCAUUCUGGAUUGAAAUGAAUUUUUUCUAAACAAAAAAGAGCGCCCAACGGAAGCUCCUUUAUUGUUAUUGAAAAAACCAUUUUAAACCAGAAUAUUGAAAUGAACAGCUGGAAAUGGC
rnacentral:sRNA from 1 species